rnacentral:rRNA from 1 species
GAUGAACGCUAGCGGUGUGCUUAAUGCAUGCAAGUCGAACGGGAUCCCAUGGAUUCGUCCAGGGUGAGAGUGGCGGACGGGUGAGUAACGCGUUGGUGACCUGCCUCGGAGAGGGGGACAACCAUUGGAAACGAUGGCUAAUACCCCGGAUGUUAUCGAGUUUAGAAAUCGAUAACUAAAGCUCUGGCGCUCCGAGAGGGGCCAGCGUCCCAUCAGCUUGUUGGUAAGGUAACGGCUUACCAAGGCUCAGACGGGUAGGGGGCGUGAGAGCGUGACCCCCCCACACUGGUACUGAAACACGGACCAGAUACCUACGGGUAGCAGCAGCAAGGAAUAUUGCGCAAUGGGCGAAAGACCUGACGCAGCCACGCCGCGUGAGCGAUGAAGGCC